UACAGAGGGUGCAAGCGUUGUUCGGAAUUACUGGGCGUAAAGCGCGUGUAGGCGGUCCAAUAAGUCGGUCGUGAAAUCCCUUGGCUUAACCAAGGAACUGCGUUCGAAACUACUGGGCUUGAGUAUCGGAGGGGAUGGCGGAAUUCCCGGUGUAGAGGUGAAAUUCGUAGAUAUCGGGAGGAACACCUGUGGCGAAGGCGGCCAUCUGGAAGAUAACUGACGCUGAGACGCGAAAGCGUGGGGAGCAAACAGG
rnacentral:rRNA from 1 species